GGCCAUAUGGCUGAAGUAGUAGUGCACCAGCUUAGUAAGCCGGAGGUCCUGAGUUCAAAUCCCAGUACUACCA
rnacentral:tRNA from 1 species